rnacentral:rRNA from 1 species
GUGGGGAAUAUUGGACAAUGGGCGCAAGCCUGAUCCAGCCAUGCCGCGUGAGUGAUGAAGGCCUUAGGGUUGUAAAGCUCUUUCAGUGGGGACGAUAAUGACGGUACCCACAGAAGAAGCCCCGGCUAACUUCGUGCCAGCAGCCGCGGUAAUACGAAGGGGGCUAGCGUUGUUCGGAUUUACUGGGCGUAAAGCGCACGUAGGCGGAUCGUUAAGGCGGGGGUGAAAUCCUGGAGCUCAACUCCAGAACUGCCUUCGAUACUGGCGAUCUUGAGUCCGGAAGAGGUGAGUGGAACUCCUAGUGUAGAGGUGGAAUUCGUAGAUAUUAGGAAGAACACCAGUGGCGAAGGCGGCUCACUGGUCCGGUACUGACGCUGAGGUGCGAAAGCGUGGGGAGCAAACAGGAUUAGAUACCCUUGUAGUCCC